ACCAAACAGUGGUCAAGAUUUGAUGCUUUGGUUCUGACUUGGAAGCUAAACAACAAAAGUAAGAGUAAAAAGGGGGUUUUGUCCAAGACAAAACAUAGAAGCUACGGUAGCGAAUAAUAUCAACGAAUAAACAAAAAAAAAUAGUGCUUGAAAAUAAUGGAGCAGAUGGUGCAGGGACAAUUGAAGUGGCUAAAAGAGACAAACGUACAAUACUUUCAAUAAUCAUCAGACAACAAACAUUCAGUCGGAACAGGAACAGAAGAACAGGUUACCUGAAUGGAUGAGGAAUGGAGUAGAGUAGAAGAGACGCGGAAGAAGAUUGGUGUUUAAAAGGACCAAAUCAAUGCGUAUAAGAAGGGAUCAAAAUAAGGAAAACGAUUUAACGCGGAACGACCCAAGAAGAAGGUUUUUAGUUCAAAAGUCUUUAGGAUUUGUCUUUACGAAAUAUUAAUAUCUUGUAGCAAUUAAACUACGUAUAUAUAUCUAUCUAUUAAAUAAAACAAAAUUAUUAA